GCAGUCGACGGCAGCACGGGGGCAACCCUGGUGGCGAGUGGCGAACGGGUGAGUAAUACAUCGGAACGUGCCCAGUAGUGGGGGAUAGCCCGGCGAAAGCCGGAUUAAUACCGCAUACGACCUACGGGUGAAAGCGGGGGACCGCAAGGCCUCGCGCUAUUGGAGCGGCCGAUGGCAGAUUAGCUUGUUGGUGGGGUAAAAGCCUACCAAGGCUACGAUCUGUAGCUGGUCUGAGAGGACGACCAGCCACACUGGGACUGAGACACGGCCCAGACUCCUACGGGAGGCAGCAGUGGGGAAUCUUAGACAAUGGGCGCAAGCCUGAUCUAGCCAUGCCGCGUGAGCGAUGAAGGCCUUAGGGUUGUAAAGCUCUUUCAGUGGGGAAGAUAAUGGCUGUACCCACAGAAGAAGCCCCGGCUAACUCCGUGCCAGCAGCCGCGGUAAUACGGAGGGGGCUAGCGUUGUUCGGAAUUACUGGGCGUAAAGCGCACGUAGGCGGAUCAG
rnacentral:rRNA from 1 species